rnacentral:rRNA from 1 species
GGGCGUAAGAGCUCGUAGGUGGUUUGUCGCGUUGUCCGUGAAAUCCCACAGCUUAACUGUGGGCCUGCGGGCGAUACGGGCAGACUGGAGUACUGCAGGGGAGACUGGAAUUCCUGGUGUAGCGGUGGAAUGCGCAGAUAUCAGGAGGAACACCGGUGGCGAAGGCGGGUCUCUGGGCAGUAACUGACGCUGAGGAGCGAAAGCGUGGGGAGCGAACAGGAUUAGAUACCCUGGUAGUCCACGCCGUAAACGGUGGGUACUAGGUGUGGGUUUCCUUCCUUGGGAUCCGUGCCGUAACUAACGCAUUAAGUACCCCGCCUGGGGAGUACGGCCGCAAGGCUAAAACUCAAAGAAAUUGACGGGGGCCCGCACAAGCGGCGGAGCAUGUGGAUUAAUUCGAUGCAACGCGAAGAACCUUACCUGGGUUUGACAUGCACAGGACGCCGGCAGAGAUGUCGGUUCCCUUGUGGCCUGUGUGCAGGUGGUGCAUGGCUGUCGUCAGCUCGUGUCGUGAGAUGUUGGGUUAAGUCCCGCAACGAGCGCAACCCUUGUCUCAUGUUGCCAGCACGUUAUGGUGGGGACUCGUGAGAGACUGCCGGGGUCAACUCGGAGGAAGGUAAU